CCUCCGGCGGAGGAAUCUGGGCGAAAGCGGUGCGUGAUUGGCUGCCCUUUGGUGCAGCGCCCAGCGGUGAUGCUUCCGCGCGCUGGCGGGCCAGGUGCAUGUCUCCUGAGGACGGCCUUAGGCGGCGAGUGCGAGGUUAUUUGUCUUGCUGCUAAUUGUAAGCUCAUCCAACCAAGCUUCAGGCCAGGACGGCACUGAGGCUGAGAAGACUUGAACACGGAAGGGCCGGGGUAGCGUCACCUGCAACAAGCAAACGGAGACAUCUUUGGUUGUCUCAGCUGGAGCUAAUGGAGUCAGCUGCUACUGAAAGCAACGUUAUAGAAUCUCCAAGCCUGGACCAGAAGUGGGGAGGCUCCUGUUCCGGGCAGGUUGCACAGGUUUGGCAGCUUUUCCCAUCAGGAAAUGGUUGGGGGUCGGGGAUGGGGUGUGUGGGGUGGCACUGGGGAGAAAUAAGAGCUGUCUCGGGCUUUAACAGAGUGUUGGGAUCGAUUCUUCUCCAUUCUGCUCCCCCUUCAGCCCUAGGAGUCUGAGAACAAGGUGUGGGUGAGGUUGGCUUCUUCUUAGGUCUGUCUCCUGGGCUCUUCGAUGCCCCAUGUCCUCACACAGGUCACCCCUUGGCCUGUGUCCCUGUCCUUACCCCCUUUUUAUAAGGGGGGAUUAGUGCUCUCAUUGUACCUUAAUUACCUUUUAAAAGGCUCUGUCUCCAUAAGUUUGUUUAUUCUUAGAGUCUGCGAUUCUGCUUCUAUUUUUGUCAGUAAGUUCAUUUGUAUCAUUUUUUAAAAUUCCACAUAUAAGUGGGAUCAUAUGAUAUUUGCCUUUCCUCGUCUGACUUAGUAUGGUGGGGGGAAGGAUAAAUUAGGAGUUUGGGGUUAAUAUAUACACACUACUGUAUGUAAACUAAACAACAAGGGCGUACUGGAUAGCACAGGGAACUCUACUUAAGAUUCGGUAAUACGCCAAAUGGGAAAAGACUCUGAAAAAGAAUGGAUAAAUGUAUAUGUAUCACUGAAUCACUUCACUGUACCCCUGAAACUAAUACUAUACUGUAAAUCGACUAUCGUUGCUAUUGUUUACUUGCCAAGUCGCGUCCGAAUCUUUGCGACCACAUGGACUGCAGCACGCCAGGCUUCCCUGUCCUUCACCCUCUCCUGGAGUUUGCUCAAACUCGUGUCCACUGAGUCGGUGAUGCCAUCUCAAUCAACCAUAC